rnacentral:rRNA from 1 species
AUGAACGCUGGCGGCGUGCCUCAUACAUGCCAGUCGAGCGCACAGACGAGGAGCUUGCUCCUCUGACGUUAGCGGCGGACGGGUGAGUAACACGUGGAUAACCUACCUAUAAGACUGGGAUAACUUCGGGAAACCGGAGCUAAUACCGGAUAAUAUAUUGAACCGCAUGGUUCAAUAGUGAAAGACGGUUUUGUUGUCACUUAUAGAUGGAUCCGCGCCGCAUUAGCUAGUUGGUAAGGUAACGGCUUACCAAGGCGACGAUGCGUAGCCGACCUGAGAGGGUGAUCGGCCACACUGGAACUGAGACACGGUCCAGACUCCUACGGGAGGCAGCAGUAGGGAAUCUUCCGCAAUGGGCGAAAGCCUGACGGAGCAACGCCGCGUGAGUGAUGAAGGUCUUCGGAUCGUAAAACUCUGUUAUUAGGGAAGAACAAAUGUGUAAGUAACUAUGCACGUCUUGACGGUACCUAAUCAGAAAGCCACGGCUAACUACGUG